rnacentral:hammerhead_ribozyme from 1 species
CCACUGCUGAGGAGUCCCACAAUAGGACGAAACGGCCGUCCAGUAC